AGAGUUUGAUCAUGGCUCAGGAUAAACGCUGGCGGCGUGCCUAACACAUGCAAGUCGAACGCCCUUAGUAAUAAGGGAGUGGCGGACGGGUGAGGAACACGUGGAUACCUACCCUUUGGUGAGGAAUACCGGCGAGAAAUCGCCGACAAUACCGCAUAUGCUUGGCAACAAGCAAAGCUCGCAAGAGCGCCAGAGGAUGGGUCUGCGCCUGAUUAGUUUGUUGGUGGGGUAAUGGCCUACCAAGACGACGAUCAGUAGCUGGUCUGAGAGGACGAUCAGCCACACUGGGAUUGAGAACGGCCCAGACUCCUACGGGGGGCAGCAGUGAGGAAUUUUCGGCAAUGGGCGCAAGCCUGACCGAGCAACGCCGCGUGCAGGAUGACGGCCUUCGGGUUGUAAACUGCUUUUCUUUGGGACGAGCAAGGACGGUACCAGAGGAACAAGCCCCGGCUACUCGUGCCAGCAGCCGCGGUAAUCGUAGGGGGCAAGCGUUGUCCGGAUUUACUGGGCGUAAAGCGCAUGCAGGCGGUCCUACAAGUUUGGAGUGACAGUUUCCGGCUUAACUGGGAAAGUGCUUUGAAAACUGUGGGACUUGAGGGCUUCAGAGGGACCGGAAUUCCGGGUGGAGUGGUGAAAUGGUAGAUAUCCGGAGAACCCGAAGGCGAAGGCAGUGUCCUGGGAGUCCUGACGCUCAGAUGCGAAACCAGGGGAGCGAACGGGAUUAGAUACCCCAGUAGUCC
rnacentral:rRNA from 1 species